AUACCUCCCUGGCAGGGGAGACACCAUGAUCGUGAAGGUGGUUUUCCCAGAGUGAGGCUCAUCCAUUGCGCUCCGGGUAUGCUGACCCCUGNGAUUUCCCCAAAUGCNGGGAACUCGACUACAUAAUUUGUGGUAAUGGGAGACUGCGUUCGUGCUUUCCCCUG
rnacentral:snRNA from 1 species